AACGUAGGAGACAAACGUUAUCCGGAGUUACUGGGGCGUAAAAGGGGCGUGUAGGGUGGUUUUCGUAAGUCUGGCGUGAAAAUAUCUCGGGCUUAACCGAGGCAGGUCGUCGGAUACUGCGGGACUAGAGGACGGUAGAGGCGUGUGGAAUUCCGGGUGUAGUGGUGAAAUGCGUAGAGAUCCGGAGGAACACCAGUGGCGAAGGCGACACGCUGGGCCGUACCUGACACCGAUGCGCGACAGCAUGGAGCAACAGG
rnacentral:rRNA from 1 species